GACGAACGCUGGCGGCGUGCCUAAUACAUGCAAGUUGAGCGCUGAAGGUUGGUACUUGUACCAACUGGAUGAGCAGCGAACGGGUGAGUAACGCGUGGGGAAUCUGCCUUUGAGCGGGGGACAACAUUUGGAAACGAAUGCUAAUACCGCAUAAAAACUUUAAACACAAGUUUUAAGUUUGAAAGAUGCAAUUGCGUCACUCAAAGAUGAUCCCGCGUUGUAUUAGCUAGUUGGUGAGGUAAAGGCUCACCAAGGCGAUGAUACAUAGCCGACCUGAGAGGGUGAUCGGCCACAUUGGGACUGAGACACGGCCCAAACUCCUACGGGAGGCAGCAGUAGGGAAUCUUCGGCAAUGGACGAAAGUCUGACCGAGCAACGCCGCGUGAGUGAAGAAGGUUUUCGGAUCGUAAAACUCUGUUGGUAGAGAAGAACGUUGGUGAGAGUGGAAAGCUCAUCAAGUGACGGUAACUACCCAGAAAGGGACGGCUAACUACGUG
rnacentral:rRNA from 1 species